UGAACGCUGGCGGCGUGCCUACUACAUGCACGUCGAGCGAACAGACGAGGAGCUUACUCCUCUGACGUUAGCGGCGGACGGGUGAGUAACACGUGGAUAACCUACCUAUAAGACUGGGAUAACUUCGGGAAACCGGAGCUAAUACCGGAUAACAUGUUGAACCGCAUGGUUCAACAGUGAAAGACGGUCUUGCUGUCACUUAUAGAUGGAUCCGCGUCGCAUUAGCUAGUUGGUAAGGUAACGGCUUACCAAGGCAACGAUGCGUAGCCGACCUGAGAGGGUGAUCGGCCACACUGGAACUGAGACACGGUCCAGACUCCUACGGGAGGCAGCAGUAGGGAAUCUUCCGCAAUGGGCGAAAGCCUGACGGAGCAACGCCGCGUGAGUGAAGAAGGUCUUCGGAUCGUAAAACUCUGUUAUUAGGGAAGAACAAAUGUGUAAGUAACUAUGCACGUCUUGACGGUACCUAAUCAGAAAGCCACGGCUAACUACGUG
rnacentral:rRNA from 1 species